AAAGAUUAAGCCAUGCAUGUCUAUGCACACGCCCUUGAUUGGUGAAGCCGCGAAAAGCUCAUUACAACAGCCAUAGUUUAUUGGAUCUUUACGUUCCUACAAGGAUAUCUGCGGUAAUUCUGGAGCUAAUACUUGCGAAAAACGGCGACCUUACGGAAGUCGUGCAUUUGUUAGACUAAACCAAUCGGUCCUUCGGGACCGUCAUUUGGUGAACUCUGAAUAACUCAGCUGAUCGCACAGUCUCGUACUGGCGACAAAUCCUUCAAGUGUCUGCCUUAUCAACUGUCGAUGGUAGUUUACACGACUACCAUGGUUGUAACGGGUAACGGAGAAUAAGGGUUCGACUCCGGAGAGGGAGCCUGAGAAACGGCUACCACAUCCAAGGAAGGCAGCAGGCGCGCAAAUUACCCACUCUCAGAACGAGGAGGUAGUGACGAAAAAUAACGAGGUGGCCCUCUUUGAGGUCCAUCAUCGGAAUGGGUACAAUUUAAAUCCUUUAACGAGGAUCUAUUGGAGGGCAAGUCUGGUGCCAGCAGCCGCGGUAAUUCCAGCUCCAAUAGCAUAUACUAAAGUUGUUGCGGUUAAAAAGCUCGUAGUUGGAUCUGCGCCAGGUGGAAGCGGUCGCCCGAUGGGUUGUUACUGCUUACCUCUGGCUAACCAUUCGGUUUUCCCUUGAUGCUCUUAAGUGAGUGUCCUGGGUGACCGGAACGUUUACUUUGAAAAAAUUAGAGUGCUCAAAGCAGGCAUUUCGCCCGAAUAUUCGUGCAUGGAAUAAUAAAAGAGGUCCUUGUAGCCUUUUAUUGGUUAUCGCUACGAGGAAAUGAUCGAAGGGGACAGACGGGGGCAUUUGUAUUGCGACGUUAGAGGUGAAAUUCUUGGAUCGUCGCAAGACAAACUACUGCGAAAGCAUUUGCCAAGAAUGUUUUCAUCAAUCAAGAACGAAAGUCUGAGGUUCGACAGCGAUCAGAUACCGCUUUAGUUCAGACCGUAAACGAUGCCAUCUGGCGAUCCGCCGGCGUUAUGUUUGACCCGGCGGGCAGCCACCGGUAAACCUUUAAGUUGGGUUCCGGGGGAAGUAUGGUUGCAAAGCUGAAACUUAAAGGAAUUGACGGAAGGGCACCACCAGGAGUGGAGCCUGCGGCUUAAUUUGACU
rnacentral:rRNA from 1 species